ACGCGUAUCAAGUAGUGAAUUUAAGCUGAUCAACCAACGACCUAGUUUACACCGAGCAUUUGAUACGCGUAUCCUUUUCUAAAAAAGAUAUGUUAUUUAUUUAUCGAAUGUAUCGAAGUCAUCUCGAAAGUCUCGAAGAAUUGUUGCCUUUAAUCCGCGAUGCUGAUUGGUUCUUUCGCUGAUCAUUGAACCGCAUGCUUCGUAGUGUUUGACAGUUGUGUUUGACAGUUGUGUUUUCAAAUCAAAAUUGGUUAUAUCAAAAGUGUGAAAGUAAUAAGAAAAAAAGAAGGAAAGGAAAUAGAUUGGUAGGAGAAAGAGAGAGUUUCGACUUUUGUAAAAAGAAGAAGCAGAAAAGGAAACAGAAGGUGAAACAGCGACUUCUAUAGAAAGAAGGAGCGGAAAAAGAGAGAGAGAGAAAGAGAGUGUAAGAAAGAAGAAAAAGAAAAGUGUUAGAGCAUUAACAGUAAAUAUUAUUGUCUUGGAAAGUACAGUCAGCUUUGGAAUAUUCAUUUCGUUUAAAUCUCUUGAUUUUAUAAAGAGCUAGCGUAGCAAGUAAUGGAUGAUCCAGCAACUUUUUUUCAAGAAUAGGUUGUAUAAAAAACUAAAAAAACAGACAUAUAUAUGUAUAUAUGUAUAUACAUAUUAAUAAUCAUAUAAUUGUUACAAGAAAAAUAU